rnacentral:rRNA from 1 species
AUGGCCGCGUGGCUGGCGCGCCGGGCCGCCAGGAGGCUCGCUGGCGAGCUGCGCAGCCGUGGACCAGGGCCGUGGCCCUUGAGCUGGUCGACGGUGCCGGUUCUCGGGGUGCCAUCAGGGGACCAAAGCAGGGGGUUCUGCUCCGUCCGGCGCUUCGCAGGAGAUAGCGCCGCCGCCGCUGCCAUCGAGGAGCCGGAGAAUGGACUUGCCGCAGGCGAUCUGCAGUUUGUAGAUUUCCCUGGAGGAAAGCUUUCCUUUGUUGGUGAAAUGAAUUUCCUGCCAGAGUCGCAAAUGGAAAGGAUUAAUUGUUACCGUGUUCUUGACGAUGAUGGUGGGACUAUAUACAGCAGUAGAUUCCAAGAGGUCAGUAAGGAGUUGGCUCUGAAAAUGUACAGUAACAUGGUCACCCUCCAGAUUAUGGACACAAUCUUCUACGAAGCUCAGAGGCAGGGAAGAAUUUCCUUCUAUCUAACUUCCAAUGGUGAAGAAGCAAUCAACAUAGCCUCUGCUGCUGCGCUUAGUGCUCAAGACAUUGUACUACCUCAGUACAGGGAGCCCGGUGUUCUUCUAUGGCGUGGCUUCACACUGCAAGAAUUUGCAAACCAGUUGUUUGGGAACAAGCUGGAUUACGGUAAAGGCAGGCAGAUGCCAAUACAUUACGGAUCAAACCGUCUGAAUUAUUUCACAGUCUCAUCGCCUAUCGCCACUCAGCUCCCUCAAGCUGUUGGCGCUGCCUAUUCUCUCAAGAUGGACAAGAAGAAGGCAUGUGCCAUCACGUAUUUCGGCGAUGGUGGCACGAGCGAGGGAGACUUCCAUGCCGCGCUCAACUUCGCUGCUGUCACGGAAGCGCCAGUGAUCUUCUUCUGCCGCAACAAUGGCUGGGCAAUCAGCACCCCAACCGCCGAACAGUUCAGAAGUGAUGGAGUUGUUACCCGCGGUCAGGCCUACGGAAUACGUAGUAUCAGGGUAGACGGCAACGAUACUCUUGCUGUGUACAGUACAGUCCACACCGCCCGGGAAAUGGCUAUAACUGAAGGAAGGCCUAUUUUAAUCGAGGCGAUGACCUAUCGAGUCGGCCAUCACUCGACAUCCGACGAUUCAACCAAGUACAGGCCGGCUGAUGAGAUGGAGCAUUGGCGAACAGCGAGGGAUCCCGUCUCCAGGUACAGAAAAUGGGUUCAGGGGAAUGGAUGGUGGUGCGACACUCAAGAGUCUGAACUCAGGAACAAUGUGCGGCAAGAGCUCCUGCAAGCCAUUCAGGUGGCCGAGAGGAUGCCAAAACACGGGCUUGCGGAGCUCUUCACUGAUGUUUAUGAUCAAAUGCCUUCCAACCUUCGUGAGCAAGAGCGGUCGCUGCUGGAUACCAUCAAAAAGCAUUCUGCAGAGUAUCCAGCUGAUGUGCCUGUUUAG